rnacentral:rRNA from 1 species
GAUGAACGCUGGCGGCGUGCCUAAUACAUGCAAGUCGAGCGAACGGACGAGAAGCUUGCUUUUCUGAUGUUAGCGGCGGACGGGUGAGUAACACGUGGAUAACCUACCUAUAAGACUGGGAUAACUUCGGGAAACCGGAGCUAAUACCGGAUAAUAUUUUGAACCGCAUGGUUCAAAAGUGAAAGACGGUCUUGCUGUCACUUAUAGAUGGAUCCGCGCUGCAUUAGCUAGUUGGUAAGGUAACGGCUUACCAAGGCAACGAUGCAUAGCCGACCUGAGAGGAUGAUCGGCCACACUGGAACUGAGACACGGUCCAGACUCCUACGGGAGGCAGCAGUAGGGAAUCUUCCGCAAUGGGCGAAAGCCUGACGCAGCAACGCCGCGUGAGUGAUGAAGGUCUUCGGAUCGUAAAACUCUGUUAUUAGGGAAGAACAUAUGUGUAAGUAACUGUGCACAUCUUGACGGUACCUAAUCAGAAAGCCACGGCUAACUACGUG